rnacentral:rRNA from 1 species
GAUGAACGCUGGCGGCGUGCUUAACACAUGCAAGUCGAACGAAGCUGCUUAAAGGAAGUCUUCGGAUGGAAUUUAGGUAGACUUAGUGGCGGACGGGUGAGUAACGCGUGGAUAACCUGCCUUAUACAGGGGGAUAACGGAGAGAAAUUUCCGCUAACACCGCAUAAGACCACAGCACCGCACGGUGCAGGGGUAAAAUAUUUAUAGGUAUAAGAUGGAUCCGCGUCCGAUUAGCUAGUUGGUGAGGUAAAGGCCCACCAAGGCGACGAUCGGUAGCCGGCCUGAGAGGGUGAACGGCCACAUUGGGACUGAGACACGGCCCAAACUCCUACGGGAGGCAGCAGUGGGGAAUAUUGGACAAUGGGGGAAACCCUGAUCCAGCGACGCCGCGUGAGUGAAGAAGUAUUUCGGUAUGUAAAGCUCUAUCAGCAGGGAAGAAAAAUGACCGUACCUGACUAAGAAGCCUUCGGCUAACUACGUGCCAGCACCUGCGGUAAUACGUAGGGGGCCAGCGUUAUUCGGAUUUACUGUGUGUAAAGGGAGUGUCUACGCCAUUCAAUUCUUUAACAAAGGCGUGGGCUCAAUCU